GACGAAGGGGGCUAGCGUUGUUCGGAAUUACUGGGCGUAAAGGGCGCGUAGGCGGUCCAUUAAGUCAGGCGUGAAAGCCCUGGGCUCAACCUGGGAGUGGCGCUUGAUACUGGCGGACUAGAGAGUGGGGAGAGGUUGGUGGAAUUCCCAGUGUAGAGGUGAAAUUCGAUAGAUAUUGGGAAGAACACCGGUGGCGAAGGCGGCCAACUGGACCAUUUCUGACGCUGAGGCGCGAAAGCGUGGGGAGCAAACAGG
rnacentral:rRNA from 1 species